rnacentral:lncRNA from 1 species
CUCACCACCACCUCCAGUGCAUUCACCCCCAUCCCCACCAGUUUACAAGUCGCCCCCACCACUAUACCACUAUAGUUCACCACCACCUCCAGUGCAUUCACCUCCACCACCAACUAUUUAUCAGUCACCCCCACCACUUCCACCAGUAUACAAGUCCCCACCACCACCUUACCACUAUUCAUCACCACCACCUGUUUCUAAGUCACCUCCACCACCUUACCAUUAUUCCUCACCACCUCCUCUAGCGCACUCACCUCCACCACCACCGGUUUAUAAGUCACCUCCACCACCUCCUCCAGUUUACAAGUCCCCGCCACCACCUUACCAUUAUUCCUCACCGCCACCUCCAAUGCAUUCAUCCCUACCCCCACCUAUUUACAAGUCACCCCCACCACCUUACCACUACACUUCACCGCCGCCUCCAGUGCAUUCACCUCCACCACCAACUGUUUAUAAGUCACCUCCACCACCUCCACCAGUCUACAAGUCCCCACCACCACCUUACCACUAUUCCUUGCCACCGCCUCCAGUACAUUCACCUCCACCACCACCUAUUUACAAGUCACCUCUACCACCUCCUCCAAUUUACAAGUCCCCGCCACCACCUUACCAAUAUUCCUCACCUCCACCUCCAGUGCAUUCACCUCCACCACCACCGAUUUACAAGUCACCUCCUCCAGUUUAUAAGUCCCCGCCACCACCUUACCAUUAUUCCUCACCACCACCUCCAGUGCAUUCACUCCCUUCCCCACCAGUUUACAAGUCGCCCCCACCACCUUACCACUACACUUCACCGCCACCUCCAGUGCAUUCACCUCCACCAGUAUACAAGUCCCCACCACCACCUUACCACUAUUCCUCGCCACCACCUCCAGUACAUUCACCUUCACCACCAUCUGUUUAUAAGUCAUCUCCACCACCUUACCAUUAUUACUCACCACCACCUCCAGUGCACUCACCUCCACCACCACCAAUUUAUAAGUCACCUCCACCACCUCCUCCAGUUUACAAGUCCCCGCCACCACCAGUUUACAGGUCCCCGCCACCACCUUACCAGUAUUCCUCACCACCACCUCCAGUGUAUUCAUCACCAAUUUACAAGUCACCUCCACCACCCGCUCCAAUUUAUAAGUCCCCACCACCACCUUACCGCUAUUCCUCACCGCCACCUCCGGUGCAUUCACCUCCACCACCAUCACUUGUUUAUAAGUCACCUCUACCACCUUAUCAUUAUUCGACACCACCACCUCCAGUGCUUUCACCUCUACCAUCACCAGUUUACAAAUCACCACCACCAUCUUUCCCAGUGUACAAGUCCCCUCCACCACCAGUUUACAAGUCUCCACCGCUAUCUCCCCCGGUAUAUAAGUCAUCCCCACCACCUCCUCCAGUGUACAAGUCUCCGCCACCACCAAUCUACAAGUACAAUUCACCACCACCCCCGUCUCCAGUUUACAAGUCCCUACCACCACCUGUUUACGAGCACGAGUCUCCUCCACCGCCUCCUCCAGUAUAUAAGUCACCACCACUAUCUCCUCCAGUGUACAAGUCUCCACCACUGCCUAUUUACAAAUCUCCGCCUCCUCCGGUUUACAGUUCCCCACCACCACCAAUAUACAAGUCUCCACCUCCAUCCGACCAUUACUACUAUUAUACUCCUCCUCCUCCUUCGCACUACUAACGAAUUGCAUCCAAGUUUUGAGGUAAUAACACGUAACCAUUGUAAACUUUUGCUGUUGCAUGAUAAAUCUUAUCCCUUUCAACACAAAAUGCCAUGUGUAUCAUGCUAAGUACCAGCACUUAGAUCCAUGAAAAUGACUAGCAGAAGGUUAUCCUAAGAACCAAGGAACAUUAGUUUUCCCUCUGUUUCCAAAAACUUGUGUUUGUUUAACAUGCUUAUCAACUUGGAAAUGCGCAUUGUUGAUAGCCAACUGAAAUUUUUGCAGGCAAAUUGGGAAGAGAAUCAGUGUUUGAGAGGUUCAUGAAGAUGUGGAAGAAUAAGAAUAAAAGCCCAAUGCGAGGAUGUUCUCAAGUUUUUUAAUGUUUCCGUUCUAUUUUGUAAAUUGAUUUUUGCGACUUAAUUAAUUCCCUGUUUGUGGGGUUUGUGUUGUUUUAUGUACCAUGCCGUACAUGUUUGUAAUGAUUUUUAUUGCAAAACGCCGGUUCAAUAAAAUAACUGUAUUCAUUUCGUGUCUUUUGAGUAAACUUCUAAUGGUUCUACUACUUAUUUUACGACAUUUUUUUCUCUCUUUCUCUUACAUUUUCGGUUUAAUAUUAUCGAUAAGUUUUUUAACAAAAAAGGUUGAUAUACUUAUGCAGUUCACUAGUUUGGUCUAAUCCUAACUUCAGGUUUGCCUUUAUCUUUUAUCUCUACAUACCUUUUCAACUCAAAGGAUGCUACUAUAAUUUGUGAUCAUAGUAGUGGUGAUAUUCCGAACUAUUACAUAUAAUUUAAGGCAGAAAUAUGAUCCUAACGAGUAUCUCACUGAGACAUUAGGAAACAUCAUUAAAAGAGUAUUUCUUGAAUUAGUGCAACUAUUUCUUAGUGGAAUUUAUAGUUACAAAAUUCAAAAUUUUGAGAUUCUAUUACUGAUUAAUUAAGGGCGUUAUCACUAUUUUUCUUAUUAUCACCAUUAUUUACCCCACAUACUAUAAGAUUUUCUAGGGCACAGAGAAAGAGGUGGACUUUUUCUUGAUCCGUUGUUGUAUAAGUUUAAACUUUUGACGUGCAAUUGUGCUAUAAUAUUAUACUAAAUAUAUGUGUGAAAUAUUUUGUCUAUAUACAUCACUUUUAUCGUGAAUACAAUAGCUGAGUAUAAUAAUAUAGUAUAAUGUAAUUGUACACCAAAUAAUGUAGCAAAUAUAACAAUUGAUCCGAAUUACACGGAACUAUAACAACAAGAUCACUGCCUCCCAAAUUUUACAAAAUUAGUUUUUUUUCUCUCUUAGAUUAUUGAAAAUUUUCAAAAAUAUUCUACAUAAUUUAAGCUUUUGUCCUACAAAAAUUUGAAAAGAUUUUACAUUACAAGCUUAAGCUUAGAUAUAUUAAAUUUUGCCCCCAAGAUUAAUUUUCCCUUUUUAUCUAUGGUCCCUAAUCUAUGAACCGAUCCAUAUAGCUAGUUAGACUGUGAUAGGUUGCAAUUUUAUCAUCUAUUUUAUUAUUAAUUUCUCCUAUUAUCCGACCUGAUGUGGAUUAAUUGUUAGAUUCUACGCACUUUUGAAGAAUUGGCAUUUAUUACAGGGAAUAGAACGAAAAUACCAUAACAAGAGUCAAUUUGACAGUCAUCAGGAAGGAGUCCAAGUGACAGGCGUCUAGGGGUAUUUUUGAAAUAUCAAGACGCGAUCCUUUUUGGUAAUUUAUGGAAGGCAGCAUAAAAGAAGAAAAGGAACGAAGGGCUGGAGCCUUCUUCCUCUCGGGAGGGAGGCCGCCGCACAGUAGAGUAGAGGCCCUACUUUGGAGUUGCUAUGUUUGACUUUUCCUUCUUAGUUUUGGUAGUGAUAAUUCUCCCUCGGAUGUGAGGAGAAAUUAGGAGCUUUUGUUGACUUUUCCUUUGUGAGUUUUUGGAGUAGUUCCCAAUUCACGCAUGUCAGGAGUUUUAGAACUUUGACUUUUCCCUUUUCGUCUCUUAGUAGCUUUGUAUGCCCGCAUGGCAGGAACAAUGGGAAGAUUCAACCAUUCUAUGCAGGUUUCGUUUCCUUUGAUUAUUUGAACGAAUUGAACUCUCGAAAAUCAGAGACAAUGGUCGCGACUCUUGCUCCAGUUUUGUAUGGUUUCUUCUCAUCAAGUAUGAACUAAUUUCCGCACUCUAAUUAGGGAACAACGGAUACUUUGAAUCGCCUAAAAUUGUGAGUUCGAUUUAAUUUCAUCUUUUCAUUUUAUUUAUUGGUAUUCACAUAUUCCUCGAUUGUAGUAUUUAUGAUUAUUUAAUUAAUUGAUUGUCUUGGAUCCGGAUAAUUAGUUAACUUGAUAAUCUACUGUCAAUUAAGACAUUAAAUCUGUAAUUGUUUAAUUACCUUGAAUUAGUGACAACUGACAUGAUUAGGUUUGUGUCAGGAGGGAUACGCGGGCUAAUCUAAAAUAACCUUGGUAAUGCGUUAUUUGGUUAGAAUAGGGCUCCUCUAAUACGUAAGGCAAUUGGGGAAUUAAAUCUUACGGGCGUACCUAGGAUUAUUUCUCAAUUAGAGUAGUGGUUAAUGGGCGUACCUUAAUCACCGACACAGUAAGGAGGGGUUGACUGUCAUCGCUUGUUUGGCAGUUAUAACCUAUUUAUUAGUAAAUAAUUGGAUUUGGCUUUGCUUCGAUAAUCAAUUAGGUGCACCAUUGCUGAAGUUAUUUCUUGGCUAGAGCCUUAGUUAUCAUUCAUUUGAUUUUAGUAACUUGUUAUUUAAUUUUUAAUAGUUUUUUAGAUUUUAUUUGAAUUUCUUUGAUUGUCAUCUUCUGCACAAAAACACCCUCUUUGUUACUGUGGAUUUGAAAAGAAACAGUUACUCCCAGUCCCUGUGGAUUCGACCCUGCUUACCACUAUUUACAAAAAUUAACUUUAGUUGAGCAGGUUUUUAUUAUUGCACAGGUCCGACACCUGUCAGACUGUAGUCCUCACAUUUGUGGGAUUUAACACCCAAGAUUCCCCUUCUUGGAAUGUAAAAUGUAGAUCUUCUAUGUUAAUAAUUCAAGACCCUACUGUCAUAAACGAAAUGACUGAUCAACUCCUGUAAACCUAAUUUGACAACAUUUAAAUGAAGAACUUUAGCUAAAAGAAUUAUGGUCAAGCUAAAGAAAAAACCAGUUAUUUUCCAACAUAUGCAAUCAUUGAUCAGGGAAAAAAAAAAGCAAAAAGACAUCUUCAAUCAUUUAAUAGCUUACCGGGCAAAUUAACCCCUGAGUGAAAACUGGUUGCUCUAGAAUCAAAAUUUUACCUUAGUUACCCAGGCAACUUUUUUGUUGCUUUUUUUUUUUUUUUUUUCUUUUUGGGUAUAUAGCUCCAGUUUUGCCCCCUCUGUCAAGCUUAUAUAAUUAUUAAGAUAAUAAAAGUGCCUUUAAUAGUUAAUAUAUCCAUUGACUUGAGCUGUCAUCAGUUUGGCUACUUCGAUUCCAUGAGGCCUUUUCAAUUCACACUAGCUAGAAAAAAUGGUAAUAAAAGUACUCAGAAAAUGGGGAAUCAUGAAAACCUUUUGUUCUAUUCAUUGCUAAGAUGCUUUUCUCUAUAAAGAGACUUCCUAACGAAAAUACUUUGUAGAUUUCUUUGCUCCAAGUGGUGCAUGGAAAAUUAAUAUUUUCAAUUAUCAAAUAAAAUUCCCUUUUUUCGGUGUAGAUUUCAUCCAUCCAGCUGUUAACACAUUCUAUAAAUCCGAAUUGACUAAUCUUUUUGUUUCCAUUUUCCAACUUGCGAAUACGGCAUCUUAUAUAUUGUCUGCUAAUUCUCUGCCAAAUAUGAAUACAUAUCACUUUUCUGAGCAAGUGCAGAGUCAUUAUCAUUUUUAUUCCCACCUAACAAAUUAGUGGUUGAGCAUCUUUACAUGCUAUCAGGUCACAAGUUAAUAAUCUUUUAAAGAACAUGUUAAAUUAAUUUAUUGGUAUGAAUAGCAGUCAAAGAAGUAUGUUAAAGUUAGUAAUCUUUAAAAUAAUAUGUUAAAAUCAUUCGUACAAAUUAGUCAGAGAAGUAGCAUAAACACCACGAUGCAAUUAAUACUUUCAAGCUCAAGGUCUCUAUUAUGGAAAUUUGCAUCGGUCAAUAUACACUUGGCAUAGUUGUAUGCACGUCUUUUUUUUUUUUUUUUGGUAUUUUACUUCCUUGCCUUAAGUUGCCUGCAGACGUUUGUAUUACAAAUAUAUGGUACACUAAAUAUAUAGUAUGCACAUUAAUUUCUUUGGAUUGCUUAAGAUUAUAUUGUUAAUAAUAGGGGGUUUAACCAUAAAUUAUAACAAUUAUGAAGUAAUAUAUAUUAGAAAAUUAACACAAUUAUGAAUUUUUUUGUAAAUUCAAAUUUUAUUAAUAAGAAAUGAAAUAGGCAGUAAGCAUUUACAAACGGAAAACAAAAUCCUACAACAACUCUAGGACUCUACACCUUAUUAAAAAAAAAACUAGGACACUAUACCUCAGAGAAGCUAAACAAUCCUACAAAUAAACUGCAAAAUAAAUCACAAUAACGCAAAAUUUUUGUCUUUCUCCCGUAUGAAAUGAAACUACGAAGUCAAGAAUUGACUCCUUUAACGGUAUUGCCAGCGGGCUCCGUCAGCAAGAUACAACUUUGCAAUUUGAUUCAAUAGAAAUCCUCAAAUAGCUAUUUUGACAGGCAAAUUAAGCAUUAAUUUUGGUAUCCCUUCAUAAAAUACAAGAGUACUUUUGAUUAUAUCUAUAGAUCAACUUUCUAGGCUUGAUGUAUUAUAAGAAAAUCUGCCUAACGAUUUUGAUAGCAUUUUUCCAAAAGCAGAAGAUGGAAAAUUGCCCAUUUGUACUGGGGAGUUCGUGAUCUUUUCCUCAUUCUAGUCUACUUACAAUUCUUGGAAAAAGGAAUACUCACAUCUCAAACAACAGCCUGUUCAUCUGCAGCGUCCCGCAGAAUUCUAGAAAGUAGGUGGCAUCCCACAUCGAGUGUUUGUGGGGGGGGGGGGGGUUUGGGUUAGUUUACAAGUCUCUGAGGAACCUCAAGAGUUGCCGGCUUUUGUGGUUUUCUCGGGGUUUAGGUUUGUAAAAUGAUCAAAAGUCACCCUGAUUUUGGUAAAAAAGACAACUACCUGUCCGGGGUUAGUGAGGUCUCUUUAGGUCUUAGUAGCAGCUGCUCUGUUUAAGGUAGUUAUCCCACAUCGAGUGUUAGGAGGGGGGUUUGGGUUAGUUUAUAAGUUUCCUGAGAAACCUCAAGAGUUGCCGAUUUUUGUGAUUUUCUCGGGAUUUAGGUUUGUAAAAUGAGCAAAAGUCAUCCUGGCUUUGGUAAAAAAAAGGUGGCAAUAUUAAUUACAUUUCAAAAUUGACUGCUGCGAUAACUAAUUCGAUGGCUACUCCAUGGUCAACGUUUGGACCCUUCCUGCCAGCACAUAGCCCUUUUUGGAUGCACAUUUUUUUUCUCUAGGUAAUAUAAUCUCCCAACUCAUUUCUUUACAAAUGCACCUUUAAUCACCACCAAAAGGUGUGGACAUGAUCUUUACCCUAGAAAACUAUUCACCGACAGGCAAAUUGACGUCAGAAAUACUAAGAGGAAUUCUAGUUUCCUUCGGGUUCAUGCCAUUUUGUACCCUUCAACUGUAACUCGAUUUCUAAACUGUAAUUUGUGACAUUAUAGUCCUUAAACUAUGAAACCCUUCUUACUCAAGUAUAAUGGUUAAUACAAUACCCGUGACUAGACAAGUAUGAAGCAACCAUAACAAAAACAAAUGCAAAAUUCGAGAAAAGAAAGAAGUUUCGCGACCAAAGUAUGUAUCAAGGCAUGGUACAGAAAUAAAAGUGUCAAAAUUAAGAGUUUAGGGAUGAAAAAGAAUCAAAAUAUAGUUUAGGGAUUGAUUUGUCUCAAUUAGAGUUUAGAUGUCAACUAAGAAGAGAGAUAGAGUUGAAGAGUAGAAUAUAGAUAUAACAGUUCAAUUAUUGAUAUCAACGAGACAAUGACAACUUUGGAUUAUUACCAACCUCUUCUUGAUGGGAAAAGGAAAUAGAGAAGAAAGUCGGGCCUGGUCUAAGCCUGUUUCGGAGGCAAAACAACAUUAUGAAAUCACCGGCAUUCACACAAAUAUGUCAAAGUCACCGGCAUGCUAAGUUGCAAAAUUUAUACAAACACUGAAUAAUAUAUUGUUCUUAAAAUUUUUGUUUAAGAUUUAACAAUUAGAGCACGGUACACGAAUUAGCAAUAUUAAAUAAUGAAUGUUCACGAUUGAUAAAGUUAUCAAAGUACAGUUUGAGGGCAACCCAUUCCAACGUGUACAAGAUGUUUAGCCUUUGAAAAGUUAAUUAGAGAAGGUGACGAGAUUUUACUAGGCUUACAUCUUCUAGGCCUCGAGAGUAAAAAAUGAAGGCCUCUGAGGGCUAUAAAAAGGGGGCUAGAUGUUGCCUAGAAGCAUAUCAGCCUCAUACCACAUUUUGUAGCAAUGGGGAGCAAAGCAAAAGCAAUGGGGUCUAGGCUGACUCCUCUUUUUACCACCGUUUUAGUGGUAUUUGUUGCUCUUGGCUUGCCUUCAGAAACUGCAGCUGAUUACGACAAGUAUUCACCUCCUCCUCCUCCUUACCAUUAUUACUCACCACCACCUCUUGUGCAUUCACCUCCACCAUCGCCAGUUUAUAAGUCACCCCCACCACCUUACCAUUAUUCCUCACCACCACCUCCAGUGCAUUCACCUCCACCACCACCGAUUUACAAGUCACCUCCACCACCUCCUCCAGUCUACAAGUCCCCACCACCACCUUACCAUUAUUCCUCACCACCACCUCCAGUGCAUUCACCCCCACCACCACCAGUUUACAAGUCUCCGCCACCACCUCCUCCAGUUUACAAGUCUCCACCACCACCUUACCAUUAUUCCUCACCACCACCUCCAGUGCAUUCACCCCCACCACCACCAGUUUACAAGUCUCCGCCACCACCUUACCAUUAUUCCUCACCACCACCUCCGACGCAUUCACCUCCACCACCACCGGUUUACAAGUCACCUCCACCACCUCCUCCAGUUUACAAGUCCCCGCCACCACCUUACCAUUAUUCCUCACCACCACCUCCAGUGCAUUCACCCCCACCACCACCAGUUUUUAAGUCUCCGCCACCACCUUACCAUUAUUCCUCACCACCACCUCCUGUGCAUGCACCUCUACCACCAAUUUACAAGUCACCUCCACCACCUCCUCCUCCAGUUUACAAGUCUCCACCACCACCUUACCAUUAUUCCUCACCACCACCUCCAGUGCAUUCACCCCCACCACCACCAGUUUACAAGUCUCCGCCACCACCUUACCAUUAUUCCUCACCACCACCUCCGACGCAUUCACCUCCACCACCACCGGUUUACAAGUCACCUCCACCACCUCCUCCAGUUUACAAGUCCCCGCCACCACCUUACCAUUAUUCCUCACCACCACCUCCAGUGCAUUCACCCCCACCACCACCAGUUUACAAGUCUCCGCCACCACCUUACCAUUAUUCCUCACCACCACCUCCAGGGCAUUCACCCCCGCCACCACCAGUUUACAAGUCACCGCCACCACCUCCUCCUGUUUAUAAGUCCCCUCCACUACCUCAUCAUUAUUCCUCACCACCACCUCCAGUGCAUUCACCCCCACCACCACCAAUUUAUAAGUCUCCCCCACCGCCUCCCCCAGUAUAUAAGUCACCACCACCACCUCCUCCAGUAUACAAAUCACCUCCACCACCUCCUCCAGUUUACAAAUCUCCACCACCACCAAUUUAUAAAUACAAGUCUCCUCCACCACCUCCUCCAGUUUACAAUUCCCCACCACCACCAAUCUACAAGUCUCCACCUCCACCCUACCAUUACCACUACAAUUCUCCUCCUCCUCCUCCUCAUCACUACUAAGCAAUUGUAUCCAAGUUUUUGAGGUAAUAAUGCUAAACCAAUAUAUUAACUUUCGCAUGAUAAACUUUAUCUCUAUCAAGACAAACUGCCAUGUGCAUCAUGCCAAAUACGUACACUUAGAUCCAUGAAAAUGACUAGUAGAAGGUUUUCUUAAGAACCAAGGAACAGCAUUAGUAUUCCCUCCGUUUCCAAAACUUGUGUAUUAAAUAGAUUAAUGAAUUGUUUAACAUGCUUAUCUACUUGAAAAUGCACAAUACCCAUAACCCACUGAAAUUUUUGCAGGUAAAGGGGAAGAGAAUCUGUGUUUGAGAGCUUCAUAAAGAUGUUGAAGAAUAAGAAUAAAAGCCCAAUGCGAGGAUGUUUUCAAGUUUUUCUAUGUUUCCACUUUAAUUUGUAAAUUGAAUUUUUCGACUCAAUUAAUUCCCUGUUUGUGGGGUACGUAUUGUUUUACGUACCAUGCCGUACAUGUUUGUAAGGAUUUCUAUCCUAUUGGCAAAAGUCGGUUCCAUACAAUUAAUAAAUUCAUUUCACUUCUAUUGGCUCUACUAUUUAUGCAUGGUACGACAUUUUUUCUCUCUUUCCCUUAUAUUUUGCCUUUAAUAUUAUUGAGUCAAUAUUAAUAAUGGGCCUUUUUCUUAAAAUUAUACUAUUAUACAUAGGUAGUUUGGUCUAACGCUAAAUUCAUGUUUGUCUUUCUUUUAUUCCCUUUACAUCUCAAAGUAUACUAUAGUUUGUGAUCAUUGUGGUGAUGAUAUUACCAGCUGGUACUUAUAGUUUAAGGCAGAGACAUGAUAUUAACAACUAUCUCAUUGAAACAUAAGGAAAAAUCAUGACAAGUGUGAGUCUUGGUUAAUGCACAAUUUGUUAGUGGAAUUUAUAUUUAUAAAACUCAAAAAAAAAUUUUGACAACGCUAUUACUAAUUAAUUAAGGACUUUAUUGCUAUAACUUAUCGCUUACUAGUUUAAACUAUAAAUGAUCUCAAUACUUUUCUCCAUGAUGUCGAUUUCUUUAGACUACGAAAGGGAAAAAUUAGUGACAUAUCCCUUACUGAUUACAACAUCAGCAAAAAUUAGUUAUAAACUUUUCCGGUGGUUUUAAAUCCCUCGGGCACUAAGAUUUUUUGCACAUCGAGUGAAUGAAGGAACAUAGGCAAUUCGUUCAGCAUACCAAGUCCUUGUUUAAGAUGCAAGUACUAAAAUGCAUCCUCUUCAUUAAUUUGGGAAAUUGCCAUAGUUUUUUUUUAAGCAUUUUGAUUUUUUACAUGAUUCAAAAUUUUCUUAUUGGAUACAAUCACUUUGUAUCAAGAACACAUUUUCAAUCAUCUUUUUUAUCUUCUCAAUAAGAAAAUAAAAAUUUAUUCAUGCUUUUCUAACAUAUCCAAUCAUUGAUCUGAAAAAUAAAGAAUUAAAAAAAAAAUACAUUUUCAAUCAUUGCUUACAGGGCAACUUCCCCAUGUGAACCUCUUCAAACAAAGCUAAUAAUAUGAAGGAACAUCUAAAUACACUUUUGCCCUAAAGACUGGUUGCCUUGGGGUCAAAAUUUAACCUUCGGGAGUAUAAUUACCCUGCCAAAUUUAUUAUUUUUUUAUGGGUAUAUAGUUCCAAUUUUUCCUCCUGUUAAGCUUAUAAAUAUAUUAUCACCCAGAAAAUAAAGGAAUCUUGAAUACUAACAUGUCCAUUGACUUGAGUUGUCAUCAAUUCGGCUACUUCGGCCAAUCUAAUUCACACUAGCUAGAGAAAAUGGAGAUAAAGGCACAUAGAAAAUUAUAUGUAAUAUUGAUUGGUAGUAACCACCUUGUAUUGAUCCCACUAUUGUGAAAAAAAAUUAUAAAAAAUUAGCAAAAUUUAAAAGAACAAAUUAAAUUUAUUCGUACAAAUCAGUCAAAGAAGUAGUAUUUUAAAGACCAUGAUGAAAUUAAUACUUUCAAGGUCUCUAUUAGGAAGACUUCCUUUGUUGGUGAAACUACACUAGGCACAGUUAUAUGCCUAAUUUCCUUGCCUUAAGCUGGGUGCAGAUGUUUAUAUUACAAAUAGAUGGUAUCAAAAAAUUGUUGUAAUCACGUCUGUUCUUUUUUUCUUCCUUAAUUUUUUUUCUUUAUUCUCGUGACUUCAAAAAUACGAACUCAAGAAAUUGGCUGCUCAAUCAGUACAUCAUACAGGCUUCGACAUUAAGGUAUAACUUCACAACUAGAGCCAAUAGAAAUCGUCAAAUGAUUUUUUGACAUCCAAUUUAAGCAAUAAAUUUUGUUUUCAUUUCAUAACAUAUAAUAGUACUACUUCAUGGGAGAUUUUAUAGUUUCUUUAGGGUAUCAUACCUACAAUUGAUAUUUGUCAUUGGAUAGUGAAAGAAGUGUUAAUGACUGUAAGAUUAAAUAUUGUUAAAUAUUGAAAAUUUAAACUAUUUAUCUUUAUUGAGAGAUACAACUUAAAGAAUCCUGUUUUUCAUAGAAUUUUCUCUGUUUUUCAUCAUCUGUAGACAUAAACUUUCCACGGUUGAUGUACUAUAAGGAAAUUUUGCCUAUACAAUGUGAUAGCAUUUUUUCAAAAAGAUCGACAAGAUGGAAAAUUGCCCCCUUGAACGGAAAAAAUCAUGAUCUUUCCUCAAACUAGUCUACUUGUCAAUUCUUUAAAAAAGAAUACUCGCUCCUAAGCAUAGCCUGUUCAUCUACACUGUCCCGAAGAAUUCUAUAAAGUUAGGCAAAACUAGACAAGUUGACAGGUAUAAUCAGACCCAAGAUCAGGAACAAGCAGUUGCACAUUUCAAAAUUCGCUGCUGCAACAACUAAUUUGAUGACUUACAACACUAAAUGUAAUUUUCACGUUACAUAAUAGAUUGAUAUCUAUGUUCUUUAAAUUAUCAUAAUAAUACUCUUAAUUAAAUUUAACUGAUAAAAAGUGUGAAACUAGUAAGGAAUAAAUAAUGGUGAUAAUGUACUUAAUAAUUUAACAACAGCACCAUCAGAAUUUGAGCUUUGUAUCUAUAAAUUCCACGAAUAAAUAGCUUCAUCAAAUCAAGAUUUACACUUUUCAUAAUGUUAAGUUUCCUUGACUUUCAAUGAGAUAUUUAUUAGUACCAUGCUUCGGUCUUAAACAAUGAUCACAAACGAUAGCAUCCUUUGAGUUGAAAAGGGAAGUAGUGAAAAAGAGAAGUAUAAAAUACAAUUAGCAUUCCCUCAAAUUGUAGAAAGUUAGGUAGCAUUAUAGACAAGUUGAUAGCCGUAAUUAUACUAAAAAUCAGGCAAAAGCCAGCAAUUUUACAUUUCAAAAUUCACCUAUUCAAUAACUAAUUCGAUGGCUUGCUACAUGGUCAAAAUUCACCACAUAUCCCUUUCCUCAAUCAGGGGCUUCUACAAUUACCAGUUCCAAUUGUAUGGUAUAGUUCCAAUUACCAGUUCCUCAAUCGUUCCGUCAAUUAACUGCACCAUACAAUCUAACCUGCAAUUGUAUGAACCCCAAUCUCGCUUCCUAAUCCACCAUUUUUCUCUAGGUAAUAAUCUCCCUUCUAAUUUCUUCACAAAAUGCACCUUUCAUCACCUCCAAUAGCGUCGACAUGAUCUUUACCCUAGAAGACUAUUCACCGACUCUCAAUUGACGUCAGAAAAUCUAAGAGUAAUUCUACUUUACCCUAAGAUUGAUAUCAACUAGACAAUGACAAUUUAGAAUUAUUACACGCCUGUUCCUAAUAGGAAAAAGAAAUAGAGAAGAAAGUACAGGCCUGGUCUAAUUUCUUUUCAAAGGCAAUACAACAUUACGAAAUCAAGCAUUCAUUCAUACAAAUAUUUCCUAGUCACCGAUUUGCGGAGUAGAAAAGUUUAUACAAAAACUUAAUAUUAUAUUGUUUAAGAGUUAACAAUUUAGAGCUUAAUCCUGAUACUAGCAUAAUUACCUAAUGAAUCGCGAUUGUCAAAUAAAUUUACAGUUUGAGGAAAACCCAUUCUAACGUGUACAAGUCAAAAACGUUUGUGUUGAGGUUUGGUUACGAUACCUUCCUAUUAUUUAAAAUCUCUCACAUAAUCUCCUUGUACUUUGGACUAAACUCGAACGUGAAAGGAAAUCCCAAAACCAUAUUGGGCAUGAAUUCACACAUAAUAGACCCAAAAAAAGGCAGCGGAGACUGGUGGAGAGAUUUGAGGAAUAGACGCAGACGGAAAAGCAACAAAUUUUGGCCGAAAAACGGUCACUUUCAUGGUUAAUUUUUCUACUCUCUAAUUGUACUUACCAAAUGCAACAGUGAAAUUGUAAUAUAAGCUGAAGAUGGAGUUUGAUACGUGAAAAGAAUUUUUUUAUAAAUUUUAUUUUGACCCAUAAUGUUAUCUUUAGAUACAUAAAAUAUUUUAAAAUUUUGAUUUUUGCCCAGUUAACUUUUGGUAAACAAAAAAUGCUCAUGUUUAAAAAACCGGAAAUAAAAUAAAACAAGAAAUGAAAGAAAUAAGAGGGUAGCAUAGACAUUUUGGAUUUUUCCGUUAAUUUGGAUGAUUUCCAUCCACAUUCUAAUUUAAUCCAAAACACAAAGGAAUUAUAUGGAGAUUUUUAAAUAAUGACGGAGUUUCGUGAUUGAAUCCCAAACCACAAGGGGAUUUACUAUGAAUGUUCACGAUUGAUAAAGUUAUCAAAGUACAGUUUCAGGACAACCCAUUCCAACGUGUACAAGAUGUUUAGCCUUUGAAAAGUUAAUUAGAGAAGGUGACGAGAUUUUACUAGGCUUACAUCUUCUAGGCCUCGAGAGUAAAAAAUGAAGGCCUUUGAGGGCUAUAAAAAGGGGGCUAGAUGUUGCCUAGAAGCAUAUCAGCCUCAGACCACAUUUUGUAGCAAUGGGGAGCAAAGCAAAAGCAAUUGGGUCAAGGCUGACUCCUCUUUUUACCACCGUUUUAGUGGUAUUUGUUGCUCUUGGCUUGCCUUCAGAAACUGCAGCUGAUUACGACGACUAUUCACCUCCUCCUCCUCCUUACCAUUAUUCCUCACCACCACCUCUAGUGCAUGCACCUCCACCACCUCCUCCAAUUUACAAGUCCCCGCCACCACCUUACCAUUAUUCCUCACCACCACCUCCAGUGCAUUCACCUCCACCACUUCCUCCAGUUGACAAGUCUCCGCCACCACCUUACCAUUAUUCCUCACCACCACCUCCUGUGCAAGCACCUCCACCACCAAUUUACAAGUCACCUCCACCACCUCCUCCAGUUUACAAGUCUCCACCACCACCUUACCAUUAUUCCUCACCACCACCUCCAGUGCAUUCACCCCCACCACCACCAGUUUUUAAGUCUCCGCCACCACCUUACCAUUAUUCCUCACCACCACCUCCUGUGCAUGCACCUCUACCACCAAUUUACAAGUCACCUCCACCACCUCCUCCUCCAGUUUACAAGUCUCCACCACCACCUUACCAUUAUUCCUCACCACCACCUCCAGUGCAUUCACCCCCACCACCACCAGUUUACAAGUCUCCGCCACCACCUUACCAUUAUUCCUCACCACCACCUCCGACGCAUUCACCUCCACCACCACCGGUUUACAAGUCACCUCCACCACCUCCUCCAGUUUACAAGUCCCCGCCACCACCUUACCAUUAUUCCUCACCACCACCUCCAGUGCAUUCACCCCCACCACCACCAGUUUUUAAGUCUCCGCCACCACCUUACCAUUAUUCCUCACCACCACCUCCUGUGCAUGCACCUCUACCACCAAUUUACAAGUCACCUCCACCACCUCCUCCUCCAGUUUACAAGUCUCCACCACCACCUUACCAUUAUUCCUCAC